GGCUGCACUAUACAUUUUAAACAUAUUUUUAUCAUUAUUGCAAUAUGACUUGCAAUAUCACUGUGAAUAACAGCAAACUCAAACUGCAUAACUCACAUACAGCAACAAACAUAACGAGGUUGGAGGUAGAGUGAGGCAGAGCAAGGUAGAGUGAAGGUAGAGUGAGGUAAGUUAAUGUAGAUGUGUGUGGUAGAGUGAGGUACACUGAGGCAGAGCAAAAGUAGAGCGAGGUAGAGCAAGGGCAUAGUGUGGAAGUGUGGUAAAGUGAUGUCGAUUGAGGUACACUGAGGUAGAACAAGGUAGAACAAAGGUAGAGUAAAGGUAGAGCAAGGUACACUGAGGUAAAGGGAAGGUAGCGUGAGGUAGAUUAAGGUAGAGCAGAAGUAGAGUGAGGUACAGUGAGGUAGAGUAGGGUAGAGCAAGGAUAAAGCAUGGUAGUGUUGUAGAGUGAUGUAGAUUGAGGUAGAGCGAGAUAAAAUGUUAUGUAGAUUGAGAUACACUGAGGUGGAGCGAGGUAGAGUGAGGGAAUAGCAUGGAAGUGUGGUAGAGGGAAGUACAUUAAAGUAGAGCAAAAGUAGAGUCAGGUACACAAAAGUAGAGCAAAGGUAAAGUGAGGUACACUGAGGUAGAGCAAGGUCAUAGUGUGGAAGUGUGGUAGAGUGAUGUAGCUUGGGAUACAAUGAGAUGAAAUAGAGUGAUAUAGACCAAGGGAAUAGUGUGGUAGAGCGGUAGAGUCAUAUAGAUUGAGAUAGAGCAAAGUUAGCAUGAUGUACAUUAAGAUACACUGAGGUAGAGCAUAGGUAGAGUGAGGUAGAGCGAGGGUAUAGUGUGGUAAAGUAAUGUAGAUUAAGGUAGAGUAAAGGUAUACAGUGAGGUCACACUAAACACU